CCGAAGUCGCUUAGCCCGGUAUGGCGGCCGCCUCGAAAGCGGCUGUUCGAAAGGACACGCAGGUUCGAAUUCCUGUCCGAA
rnacentral:tRNA from 1 species